GUUAAUGUAGCUUAAGCCCAAAGCAAGGCACUGAAAAUGCCUAGAUGAGUAUUUAAUACUCCAUAAACA
rnacentral:tRNA from 1 species